AAUCAAAAACAUGUCUAUUACAAAACAGCUUAAUCUGAAUUCCAAGUCAUAUAAUAACGAAAAAAGAUGAAAUUAAACAUGAGAAUUCUACUUGAAAUUAAUAGAACAACUACUACUUCAGCUCAUGUAACAUAGCGAGGCUGUUUGUGUACGGUAUGAAUCUUCUCUUAGGAUUUAAUUGUCCUAGAGUCAUAAUAGUAGAUCUCCACCUUUAGUCCAUUCAAGUAAUAAAGAUGUAUUCUUUCAGUUGUGUAGAUCACCACAAUGUCAUCACCACUGUUUAUACACGGCAAUGCGUCGCACAAAACAGUACCAUUGUCAACAAAGGGUUUCUCCAAUGUUUGCCGAGACUUCUUGUGUUCAAGAUAUAUGUACACACUAUGAUUCAGACUCAUGUCCAUUGCUCCGUACAUAUCUAACAUAAAAACAUCCCUGCAGUCGUUGUAAACAGUUACAUAGGAUAGCUCAUCCUUUACCUGAGUCAACGCACCAUAUCUCCCAGGUGGAAUAGGAACAUGUACAACUGCUGCAACCUCAUUUUUUGCAUCAAAUACUAGCACACCAUGUUUUACUAAUACCAAGAAAAACACAUUUAUCACAUCUAUUAUCAAGCUUCUUUCUUUUUGCUUUUGAAAUAUGUGCAUAAGCAAUGUAUCCAAAAAUUUUGAAGUUGUCUACUGUCGAUUUCCUUCUGCUCCAAACUUCCAUGGGUAUUACAUCUCGAAGAGAAAAAGUGGAACUUCUGUUCAAGAUAAGAAUGCUCCUGUUAGGUACAUAUGAAUAUGUAUAUUUUAAAGACUGACAAUCCGGUGAAUUAUGGAGCAAGCUGAGCAAAUGUGAAUUGAGUCGCCAAAGUUUACUGGAAGAGGAAUUAGGAGGCUGACUUAAAGUAGGAAAACUGCAACCUAAUGACAACAAAAGAAGCAUAAGAUUAUAGUUAUUAUAAUUCAUUCAGAGAAAGAAAAACUAUUUCCUACUUGGUUAAGGAUAUAGUUUGAGGAAGUCAAGACAAAGAAGGAGAGUUAUUUUCUACUUGUUUAAGUAAAUAGUUUGAGGUGGCAUAGUUUAUAAGGAAAAACAUAUAUGAAGAUUCCUUUCAAUGCAUAGUAUAAAGAGAAGUCCUAUUGCUACAAGGUUUUGUUCCAGCGGCAAAGACAAGGUUGUUCGAGUUGAAGAUGCGGCAAAGUUAUGAUCUAGUUGAAGAAAGAGUUGAAGAUGGGUCGAACGCGAAUUUCACACAAUGUAGGAAUCUUACGUGUGAGCUUCUAAGUUUCAAGAGAAAAAGGAAGCAUAACAGAAGUAGGAUUUCUAGUUGAAAUAGGUUUUAAAUUCAAGUCCAAAUCUAUAAAUAGGACGAUAGUUUCGCUUGAGAAAAAAUGUGCACUUACAUAGAGAGACGAGCAAAAUACGAUCAAGUGUUUUAAGAGUUACUUGGGAGUGUUACCAAUUUGUGAGGAAAAAGUUUUAAAAUUGUAAUUAAGAGUUUUGAUUGCAAUAGAGUGUGUGUAGAGGAUUCGUCUAACAAAUUUGAGAAACUUGACGGACGAUGGAAGACUUAAACCUAGAGGUUUUUGUCUUGGGUAGGUAGGAAUUAGAGUUUAUAAUUUCUUAGGUUGGAAUUAGAGUUUACAAUUCCUUAGGUUACAUAGGCUUGUAAUCUUAUGUAGAAGUUUGGAGUUUAAUAAAGUGGAAUUAAAUCCUACAGAGGUAUAUGUCGUGGUUUUUACCCUUUACUAGUUUUCAGAAACGUGCGUUGCACGUUUAUUCCAAAUAAUAAUGCAUGCAUAUUAUAUUUUUCAUGCAACCAAUAAAUUUUUAAAGUUCAGAAAUUGAUAUUGUAGAACAUAAAAAAAAUGUUAUAAAGAAAUAAGAGAUUCUUACCAAAUCAAUAUAGUUAAUUAUUGAAUUAUCACAUAUAACUCUAGUUAUACACUAUAUGUUGUCCUAUAUUUAUGAUUUAUAUCCACCAAAAUUGAGAGAUAUGGUACGUGUGCCUAUUCCACCUUGGAGAUAUGGUGCGUUGACUCAAGUAAAGGAUGACUAUCCUAUGUAACUAUUUACAACGAUUGUGGGGUGUUUUUAUGUUAGAUAUGUACGGAGGAAUGGACAUGAGUGUGAAUUGUAGUGUGUGCGUAAAUCUUUGACACAAGAAGUCUCGGCAAACAUUGAAGAAACAUCCCUUUGUUGACAGUCGUACUUUGUUGCGCAACGUAUUACCAGGUAUAAACAGUGGUAAUGACAUUGUUGUGAUCUACACAAUUGAAAGGAUAUAUCUUUAUUACUUGAAUGGACAGAAGGUGGAGAUCUGCUAUAAGACUCUAGGACAAUUAAAUCCUAAGAGAAGAUACAUACCAGACACAAACAACCUCGACACGGUGCAUGAGCUGAAGUAGUACUUAUUCUGUUGCAAUCAAGUAGAAUUCUCAUGUUUAAUUUCAUCUUCUUUUGUUUUUAUAUGACUUGAAUUUCAGAUUAAGUUGUUUUUGUAAUAGACAUGGAUUGCCAAGGUAGUUUGAACGAUUUUUCCUUUACCCAUUUCUAAUUAUUUCUUGCUUGAUUGCGUGUUUUUACUUGUGAGUUCCUUUUUACUGCUACAUGAUCUGAAGAAGUAGCUAUUGUGUUGCAGAUCAUACCACACAUUCUAUCGUAAAAUUUAAACAGUAGUAGUAGAAAGGAACUCACAAGUAAAAACACCCAAUCAAGCAAGAAAUAAUUAAAAAUGAGUGAAGGAAAAAAUGUUCACACUACAUUGGUAAUCUAAAACAUGUCUAUUACAAAACAGCUUAAUCUGAAUUCCAAGUCAUAUAAUAACGAAAAAAGAUGAAAUUAAACAUGAGAAUUCUACUUGACAUUAACAGAACAACUACUACUUCACCUCAUGUGACGUAGCGAGGCUGUUUGUGUACGGUAUGAAUCUUCUCUUAGGAUUUAAUUGUCCUAGAGUCAUAAUAGUAGAUCUCCACCUUUUGUCCAUUCAGGUAAUAAAGAUGUAUUCUUUCAGGUGUGUAGAUCACCACAAUGUCAUCACCACUGUUUAUACACGGCAAUGCGUCGCAC
rnacentral:lncRNA from 1 species